rnacentral:rRNA from 1 species
AGCGAACGCUGGCGGUAGGCCUAAUACAUGCAAGUCGAGCGGCAGCACAGUAUAAUCUUGCUAACACGAUUGGCGAGUAGCGGACGGGUGACGAAUACGUCAUCUUCUACUUAUCGGUGGGGGAUAACUUGGGGCAACUGACACUACUACAUAAAACCUUUAAAGGGUGAAAGUAGGUGUUCUUCGUACCAUUCCCGCACUAAUAGACCGAUGUCGGAUUAACUAGUUGGCGGGGUAAGGGCCCACCAAGGCGACGAUCCGUAGCUAGUCUGAGAGGAUGAUCAGCCACACUGGAACUGAGACACGGUCCAGACUCCUACGGGAGGCAGCAGUGGGGAAUAUUGGACAAUGGGCGCAAGCCUGAUCCAGCCAUACCGCGUGGGUGAAGAAGGCCUUCGGGUUGUAAAGCCCUUUUGUUGGGAAAGAAAAGCAGCAGGUUAAUACCCCGCUGUUCUGACGGUACCCAAAGAAUAAGCACCGGCUAACUUCGUG